GAGGCCGGGCCGGGGGCCCCGGGGCCGGCGCCGGGAGCGCUAGGGGCCCCGUGCGGUCAGGCGGGGACGACCUCCGCCCUCACCCACGCCUCAUGGGGCUCCAGGGCCCCGGCCGCGGCUGGGAUCCCCGGAAAAGCAGGGACGGAGGAGCCAGGCCGGCAUGCCCGCCCUCUUUCCCCCGGGAGGACACAACAACUCCGGAAAGAUCCUGCCGGGAGAUGUGCUCGCUUUCCCCGGGGCAGCGGGGGAAAGCCCAGCAAAGGCACAUUGAAAAUUAAAAAGAAAAAAAAAAUUACGCCGAGUGGAAGAAGCAAUCCGGGCCGCGGCGGCGGCGAGAGUCUCGUUCUGUUGCCAGGCUGGAGUACAGUGGCAUGAUCUCGGCUCACUGCAACCUCUGCCUCCCGGGUUCAAGUGAUUCUCCUGCCUCAGGCUCCUGAGUAGCUGAGAUUACAGGCUGAUUAAACUUGAUGGGUUCUGGAGAUGCCAAGGAAGAGAGGCAGCAUCACCUACUUGCCUGGACUCCAUAUGGGCAGCUGAUCAUCUUGGACAGACUGCUGGAUGCUGUACCCAGGAUGGUCACUCCCAGACACCAUAGAAAAUGGAGCUUUGGAGAGUGAGGGUAUUGGCCUCUGCCUAGAGAACUCUGAUCUCAACUUGACAAGUGCCUCCAAGACAUAUACCAAGUUCUGUGUCAACACAAAGAUCCACAUGAUGAAAUCAGAGAAGUCUUUUCUGAACAGGCAGCAUAGAGAAUGGCAUUCCAGGGAGAUGGAAGAGCACCUAUAAAUAUGAACACGUAAAGAAUGUUUCUGGCCAGGAUUGCUCCAAGUUUAAAGCAACAUGAAAGGCCAGAAAGCCCUUAGAAAAAGUACUGAGUUCUUCACACAUGGAAGGCAAUGUGACUGUUUUCCAAUGGGGAAAAGGGUGGAGGGCACUCAGUCUCAAACUAGCCUUGAAAUAAGCUGAAAAGACGUGACCAAAUGUGACAAGAAGAACAAGAAGAGGUUGGUGAAAGAACCAUCAAACUUCCCUAACGUGAAGACAUCAAGAUGCUGCACGGGGUGGGGUUUGUAAAAGGUGAGAGUAAAGACAAAUAUAUGAAUGAAGAUAUUUGGAGGGAAUGGUUUAGGCCAGAACUUCUCUGCC